rnacentral:rRNA from 1 species
UACGGAGGGUGCAAGCGUUGCUCGGAAUUAUUGGGCGUAAAGCGUAUGUAGGCGGUUUUCUAAGUCUGAUGUGAAAUCCCAAGGCUUAACCUUGGAACUGCAUUGGAUACUGGAAAGCUAGAGGGCAGUAGAGGAUGGUGGAAUUCCUGGUGUAGGGGUGAAAUCCGUAGAGAUCAGGAGGAACAUCAGUGGCGAAGGCGGCCAUCUGGACUGUGCCUGACGCUGAGAUACGAAAGCAUGGGGAGCAAACAGG